rnacentral:rRNA from 1 species
GCCAGACUCCUACGGGAGGCAGCAGUGGGGGAUAUUGCACAAUGGGGGGAACCCUGAUGCAGCGACGCCGCGUGGGUGAAGAAGCGCCUCGGCGCGUAAAGCCCUGUCAGCAGGGAAGAAAAUGACGGUACCUGAAGAAGAAGCCCCGGCUAACUACGUGCCAGCAGCCGCGGUAAUACGUAGGGGGCAAGCGUUAUCCGGAUUCACUGGGUGUAAAGGGAGCGUAGACGGCCAUGCAAGCCUGGAGUGAAAGCCCGGGGCCCAACCCCGGGACUGCUCUGGGAACUGUGCGGCUGGAGUGCGGGAGGGGCAGGCGGAAUUCCUGGUGUAGCGGUGAAAUGCGUAGAUAUCAGGAGGAACACCGGCGGCGAAGGCGGCCUGCUGGACCGCGACUGACGUUGAGGCUCGAAAGCGUGGGGAGCAAACAGGAUUAGAUACCCCCGUACC